GUAGGGAAUAUUGGGCAAUGGUCGGAAGACUGACCCAGCCAUGCCGCGUGCAGGAAGACGGCCCUCUGGGUUGUAAACUGCUUUUAUCUGGGAAGAAAAAGGCCAUGCGUGGCAAAUUGCCGGUACCAGAUGAAUAAGCACCGGCUAACUCCGUGCCAGCAGCCGCGGUAAUACGGAGGGUGCGAGCGUUGUCCGGAUUUAUUGGGUUUAAAGGGUGCGUAGGCGGCUGAUUAAGUCAGCGGUGAAAGACUUCGGCUUAACCGGAGCAGUGCCGUUGAUACUGGUUGGCUUGAGUGUCGGAGGGGUACAUGGAAUUGAUGGUGUAGCGGUGAAAUGCAUAGAUACCAUCAGGAACACCGAUAGCGAAGGCAUUGUACUGGCCGACAACUGACGCUGAUGCACGAAAGUGUGGGGAUCGAACAGGAUUAGAUACCCUUGUAGUCC
rnacentral:rRNA from 1 species